rnacentral:lncRNA from 1 species
AGAAAAGAAAAUACAUGGUCAUGGACUGUCUUGACACCUGCAAGAACAUGAUAUUUAAGAGAGUGCCACAAAUUUCUUUCAUGCAGAGCUGGAAGGAGUUCUGAGGCUCAGGGUUUGCAGAACUCCAAAGCAUGUACGCAUCAAAAGGAAGCACAGGACUGGAGUUACUCAG